GAUUCAAUUGAUGAGAUUGGAUCUAAAAUUCUCACGACGGUCAUCUGAUUCUAGUAAUGCACCGAUCCUAAUAUUUUCCGAUGAUA